rnacentral:rRNA from 1 species
UACGUAGGCAGCGAGCGUUGUUCGGAGUUACUGGGCGUAAAGGGUGCGUAGGCGGUUGUUUAAGUUUGGUGUGAAAUCUCCCGGCUCAACUGGGAGGGUGCGCCGAAUACUGAAUGACUAGAGUGCGGGAGAGGAGAGUGGAAUUCCUGGUGUAGCGGUGAAAUGCGUAGAUAUCAGGAGGAACACCGGUGGUGUAGACGGCUCUCUGGACCGUAACUGACGCUGAGGCACGAAAGCGUGGGUAGCGAACAGG